GUGGGAGUUUUUGCCAUCAUUUUGCCUCUCUGGUCUGUCAAAUCUCUCACAGUUUAAGAUUCCGAAAGUUUAGAUACAAUUUUAUAUCAGAUUUAAUACGAUUGGUUCUUACUGUGUCUAGAUAAUAUGAUUAUUCCUACAAUGUCUUAGGUAAUUGGUCUAGAGCAUCGUUUCAAUUCAUUAACACACAUGGCCUCAAUAGCUUAAAUAGAACAUU
rnacentral:lncRNA from 1 species